rfam:Cavia porcellus supercont2_98 genomic scaffold, whole genome shotgun sequence.
GGGGAUUUAGCUCAGCGGCAUAAGCGCCUGCCUUGCAAGCAGGCAGUCCUGAGUUGGAUCCCCG